UAGGGAAUCUUCGGCAAUGGACGAAAGUCUGACCGAGCAACGCCGCGUGAGUGAAGAAGGUUUUCGGAUCGUAAAACUCUGUUGUUAGAGAAGAACAAGGACGUUAGUAACUGAACGUCCCCUGACGGUAUCUAACCAGAAAGCCACGGCUAACUACGUGCCAGCAGCCGCGGUAAUACGUAGGUGGCAAGCGUUGUCCGGAUUUAUUGGGCGUAAAGCGAGCGCAGGCGGUUUCUUAAGUCUGAUGUGAAAGCCCCCGGCUCAACCGGGGAGGGUCAUUGGAAACUGGGAGACUUGAGUGCAGAAGAGGAGAGUGGAAUUCCAUGUGUAGCGGUGAAAUGCGUAGAUAUAUGGAGGAACACCAGUGGCGAAGGCGGCUCUCUGGUCUGUAACUGACGCUGUGGCUCGAAAGCGUGGGGAGCAAACAGA
rnacentral:rRNA from 1 species